GCAAGUCGAGGGGUAACAGGGAUAGCUUGCUAUCCGCUGACGACCGGCGCACGGGUGCGUAACGCGUAUACAACCUACCUUGCACUGGGGGAUAGCCUUUAGAAAUGAAGAUCAAUACCUCAUAGUUUAUAGAUAUGGCAUCAUGUUUAUAAUAAAGGUCACGGUGCAAGAUGAGUAUGCGUUCUAUUAGUUAGUUGGUGUGGUAACGGCACACCAAGACAGCGAUAGAUAGGGGGCCUGAGAGGGGGAUC
rnacentral:rRNA from 1 species